AUACUUACCUGGAAGGAGAGAUACCAUGGUGGUUUUCUCAGGGUGGUUUUCUCAGGGUGAGACUUAUCCAUCUCACCUGGAUGUGCUGGCUCCUGCAAAUUUCUCCAAAUGUGGGAAACUCGGCUGCAUAAUUUGUGAUAGUGGGGGACUACAUUUACGUUCUCCCCAG